CCGUAUGCUGUUGACUCACUGUCUGACCACGGGCCUGGCGUUUCACUCAACUGCUUCUCUUUUUUGGGAAACUAGGAGAAUGACAUUCGCCAUUCACCUCGCCAUUCGCCAUUUACCUCGCCAUUCGCCAUUUACCUCGCCGGGAUGCUAUAGAGUGCCCUGGCCAGGAGGCUAGAUUCAGAUGACAGGACUGAUAUAUUCGAACCGUUUUUCUCCGUCAUUUCGAGCAAAGAUAGCUGAGAUUGGGCCAAUUUAUUUGCCCCAGUACUAACUUCAGGAAGCCCAUGCCACUGGACUCCUGUUUUUCAAGAGCAAGCUUUCAAAGAAACAGAUGAACCUGCCUUUAUAAAAUUGAGAUAUUUGAAGCAAAUAUUAAAGUUUUUCUCCUCCGAAUGCAACACAGAUAAGAGACGGUGAAAGAAUCUUGUCAAAUGAAGCAUCAGAACAAUUGGACUAAAGAUGAAAAGUUCUCUUCCCGUAAUAUUUCGCUAAGUGGGCUAAAUGUUACUUAUUUAGUGUGAAGAGGAAAACGGCCCCCUUGUCCCUUUAUUAUCUCUCAGGCCUCCACUAUACUGAAUUGGACUCUUUGAGCCUAGAAAAACUAGUUUGCACUCUACAAUGGAGAAUCCGGCCUGUGAGUGGAUAUUUAUGAUAUGCUGAAACAGCUGAAGAAGUGUUCAGUUCAAAGCUUCAGAGGGAGGAAACAGAAACAGGAGAAACAGGAGACAAGAGAGCUCUUGGCUACAGGACUGCAAACGACACCCUAAAACGUGGAGCUGCAAACCUUGGUGAUUUAAAUGCAGGCUGCCAGGCAAAUUGCAGUGACAUAAAUUUGGCCCAUGUGUUUUGCAUCGUGUGAAUAUGAAACAGGGGAAGCCAUGGAGCCGAGUUUUGUUGGCAUUGGACUCAGGAGGUUUGGUGGGCUCUUUUCAGACAUGCUGCCCACAGCAAGGUCACAUCUCAAAUAUGAACGUCACCCAGAGGUUACCCAGGUGAUCCUAGGCCAUCCUGAGCAUGCAGCUGUGCAGGGCUUGACCUUGAAGGACAGAUGGCAUCAGGGGGAAUUCUUUUAUACCUUGUAUUGGCCAGGGCUCAGCUUCUGA
rnacentral:lncRNA from 1 species